GGGGCUGACUUGGUUUCGACAUUUAAAUAUUAUUAACGUAUGAUACAGGUCGAAGUUUUCAUUCUUCGUAAAAAAAGAUAAAUUUAUAAUAAAUGCUAGUAAUUUAAUUUCUUCAGCGUUUGCUAAAUUAGUAAACUUUAUGAGUUUUAAAAAUAAACAAAAUUCAUUAAAUUUUGCGGUUUAAAAUUUUUCAUCCUCUUCUAUUGGUAUUCUUAUUAAAUAGAAUUGUUCACUAUAAAUUAUAACUGGACUUUUGUCUUUCUUAUAGUUUAGAAUAACUUUAAUUAUUAUAAUUUGUUCAAGUUUUUUGAACUAAACCUGUGAACGAGUACUUUAGUAAAAUUUAGAUGGAC
rnacentral:tmRNA from 1 species